rnacentral:lncRNA from 12 species
GUAGAGUUAAGGACAGCAGAUGGCUUAUAAAUGAGGAUUAAAAUUUAAAUGUGAAGAGUUAAUAACAUCAAGAGUGACUAUCCCAUUGGAUUGCAAAUAGAAUGGGAAAAAUCAAAUAGUGUAAUCACACCAUUCUCAUUCUACUCUCCAUUAAUAACCUGCAGUAACCAGGUUCUCCUUGGGAAUAUUAACAGCAAUGUCCAAGCAGGGAUUUCUGUGAUCGGAUCUAUGUAAGAAAUCAAGAGAAAGAAAUGAAACAGAAAAAGAAGUUUCUGGAAAACACAGGUAAUUUAUUAUCAUAUCAUGGUGAGAGAUUUAACAAAUUAAAUAUUAGUAACUCCAAUGCUAAAAGAAAAAUGAGUUCUAUUAUCUCUAAGAAGAGAGACUAGCUUGUGUGGCUUGUGGUAGGGGAUACAAGAAGAAUACAAAGUUAAACCCAGAGGUUGAUGCAAAACUAUCUUUUUGAAAAUGAACUGUGCUGAAUUUGGCAAUACAGUUAAACCACUCUUUCUUGUGAAAAGUAUACUGUAGAAAUACCCACCACAGAUGUGCACAUUUUUCAUAUCUGGAAAAAGGAAAGAAGAAAAUUGAAUUUUGUCCAAUAGUUUCUUUUAACCUGGAAGGUUGAGUCUGUCACUCCUAGGUCAUUAGAAAUGCAUUUGUUUUCUGGCGAUGUUCUUGACAUAAAACCAUGGGAUUCCUACUGGAUAUUUUCACUCCUCUGGCAGUAAACUUUUUAUGAUUGCUCCCAUUCAGAAAUGAAGAGCUCCUGUUUGAAACUGUUAAGAGACCAACAUAUAGGUAUGAGUCUGUGACACUCAUGAUUCUGAGAUGUGACUUCCAUUGGGUAUCACAGAACCAUUGUUUGCAGUGUGUACUUAUGUUUUGUCUCCUAUACUUUUACUUGUAGACUGACCUGGGCCAACAAGGGUGACCUCAGAGGAGACUGAUCCAUCUGCCUUCUGGUUUCCCAGAUCAUAAUUAUGCUGCAUUUGAAAUCGUGCUUCACAGUACUUGAAGUCAUCACUUUCCAGACUACACAUAGUCAUCUCAGUGUAGAUAAGAGCACCAUUAUGUUACAUCUUGGAAAUCUGGCAUCACCCAUUCUUCUAACAUCUUCAUUUCCAUGCAAUCGAAUUAUGCAUCCGUGAACCCCUGAGUACUGAACCAUAGCCUUGAGAGCCAUCUUCCUACGUGUAUUUGACACUUCAACAAGCAUAAGGUCUCUUCAUCUUU